rnacentral:rRNA from 1 species
AUACGGAGGAUCCGAGCGUUAUCCGGAUUUAUUGGGUUUAAAGGGUGCGCAGGCGGCCAUUUAAGUCAGCGGUUAAAUCGUGGGGCUCAACCCCAUUCUGCCGUUGAUACUGGGUGGCUUGAUUGCGGUCGAGGUUGGCGGAAUUCGUUGUGUAGCGGGGAAAUGCAUAGAUAUGACGAAGAACACCGAUUGCGUAGGCAGCUGACCAGACCGCAAAUGACGCUCAUGCACGAAAGUGCGGGGAUCGAACAGGAUUAGAUACCCUGGUAGUCCGCACAGUAAACGAUGAAUACUUGUUUUCGGCGAUAUAAUGUCGGAGGCAAAGCGAGAGCGAUAAGUAUUCCACCUGGGGAGUACGCCGGCAACGGUGAAACUCAAAGGAAUUGGCGGGG